AGGCGCUAAAUGGAAAAGCGGCAAAGAGAGAAAGAAAAUGGCCGCGCGGCUCGGGUUUACGACGCCCGCGACAUCCUGGCACGUCAGAAAGCAAAUUGCGCCGCGCGUGUGUUUGCUCCGCAGAGCAUGCGUAAACCCCGCUUAUAUAUUUUUUUUCGUUUUGUGUGUGUGUGUGUGUGCAACUAGUUUGUUCAUAAGGUGGCGAGGGAGCUCGGUGGGCUCCGAAAGACACAUUCGGGCGCAGGAAGAAAAAAACGCAGUGGCUGCUGCUCGCUAUAGCUUAGAUCCCGCAUGGCUCUGGUACUGUUCCUCCUGAUGGCGAUGUUGGUUGCAGGUUCCAUGCAAGAUGUCCCACAGAACCCGCACCUUAGGCUCCGUCGCGGGUUCGGUUGCCCGUACAACGAGUUCGCGUGUUCCCAACAGUGCGUCAGCGCCGGAAAACGCCACGGCUUCUGCGGCAAGGACGACACCUGCGAGUGCGUCGGUUGAGCAACGCGGAGCGCCCGCCUGCGGCAGCCGCCUUGCGACGUUCGUGGCUGCAGAGGACUAGGACGUCGGCGCGGCGGCUCGCUCGUUGGCUGGUUGAAGUGCCCGAAUCGUUUAUUAAAUUGGCACGAUUC
rnacentral:lncRNA from 1 species